rnacentral:rRNA from 1 species
GAUGAACGCUGGCGGCGUGCCUAAUACAUGCAAGUCGAGCGAACAGACGAGAGUGCUUGCACUCUCUGCCGUUAGCGGCGGACGGGUGAGUAACACGUGGGUAACCUACCUAUAAGACUGGGAUAACUUCGGGAAACCGGAGCUAAUACCGGAUAAUAUUUAGCUUCGCAUGAAGCAAUAGUGAAAGACGGUUCUGCUGUCACUUAUAGAUGGACCCGCGGUGUAUUAGCUAGUUGGUGAGGUAACGGCUCACCAAGGCAACGAUACAUAGCCGACCUGAGAGGGUGAUCGGCCACACUGGGACUGAGACACGGCCCAGACUCCUACGGGAGGCAGCAGUAGGGAAUCUUCCGCAAUGGACGAAAGUCUGACGGAGCAAUGCCGCGUGAGUGAAGAAGGUUUUCGGAUCGUAAAACUCUGUUGUAAGGGAAGAACAAGUACGUUAGUAACUGAACGUACCUUGACGGUACCUUACCAGAAAGCCACGGCUAACUACGUG